UGCGGGGUGGAGCAGCUUGGUAGCUCGUCAGGCUCAUAACCUGAAGGCCGUUGGUUCAAAUCCAACCCCCGCUACCA
rnacentral:tRNA from 1 species